GACAUUACCGAGUUUUACACCCCCAAACCCCUGUGAACCUAUACCUACUGUUGCCUCGGCGGGCACGGCCGCGGACGCCCCCUCGCGGGGGCACCGGGGCCAGGCGCCCGCCGGAGGACCCAAACCCUUCUGUAUUUUCUAACGUACGUCUGAGUGGAUUUAAUAUAAAUGAAUCAAAACUUUCAACAACGGAUCUCUUGGUUCUGGCAUCGAUGAAGAACGCAGCGAAAUGCGAUAAGUAAUGUGAAUUGCAGAAUUCAGUGAAUCAUCGAAUCUUUGAACGCACAUUGCGCCCGCCAGUAUUCUGGCGGGCAUGCCUGUUCGAGCGUCAUUUCAACCCUCAAGCCCGCUGCGCGCUUGGUGUUGGGGACCGGCCGGCCCGCCUCGGCGGCGGCGGCCGCCCCCUGAAAUGAAUUGGCGGUCUCGUCGCAGCCUCCCUUGCGUAGUAACAUACCACCUCGCAACCGGGAGCGCGGCGCGGCCACUGCCGUAAAACGCCCAACUUCUCCAAGAGUUGACCUCGAAUCAGGUAGGACUACCCGCUGAACUUAAGCAUAUCAAUAAGCGGAGGAAAAGAAGCCAACAGGGAUUGCCCCAGUAACGGCGAGUGAAGCGGCAACAGCUCAAAUUUGAAAUCUGGCCCCCAGGGGCCCGAGUUGUAAUUUGUAGAGGAUGCUUUUGGCGAGGCGCCUUCCGAGUUCCCUGGAACGGGACGCCACAGAGGGUGAGAGCCCCGUCUGGUUGGAUGCCGAGCCUCUGUAAAGCUCCUUCGACGAGUCGAGUAGUUUGGGAAUGCUGCUCUAAAUGGGAGGUAUAUGUCUUCUAAAGCUAAAUAUUGGCCAGAGACCGAUAGCGCACAAGUAGAGUGAUCGAAAGAUGAAAAGCACUUUGAAAAGAGGGUUAAAUAGUACGUGAAAUUGUUGUAAGGGAAGCGCUCAUGACCAGACUUCGCCCCAAGGGACAAAGGCUCUGGGAAUGUGGCUCCUCCGGGAGUGUUAUAGCCCUCUGCUGCAUGCCCUGGGGCGGACUGAGGUUCGCGCGUCUGCAAGGAUGCUGGCGUAAUGGUCAUCAGCGUAA
rnacentral:rRNA from 1 species